rnacentral:hammerhead_ribozyme from 1 species
GUCCAGCUGAUUCGUCCCAAAUAGGACGAAACGCACGUCCUGGAU